AGAGUGGUUUGGAUCUUUUGUUUCAUCCAGCUACUGCAAAACCUUUGUCAUGGCAACAUUCAAAGAUUAUUCAGGCAUUCAUGAGUCAGGGCGAGCACAGACAAGCCCUCAGAUAUAUUCAGACAAUGAAGCCAACAGUGUCCAGUGGUAGCGAUGUUAUCCUUCACCUCACUGUUUUGCUUUUUAAUAGGUGCAUGGUUGAAGCCUGGAAUUUUUUGCGGCAACAUUGCAAUAGGUUGAAUAUAGAGGAGUUACUGAAGCACAUGUAUGAAGUCUGUCAGGAAAUGGGCUUGAUGGAAGAUUUACUGAAGUUACCAUUUACAGACACUGAGCAGGUAAUUACUUACCGAUGUAAACUUGUCAGAAAUUCAAGAUAAAUUGGUAGUUUACAAUCUAUUUUGUUCUUUUUAGGAAUGUUUAGUGAAAUUUUUGCAGUCCAGUGCCAGCGUUCAGAAUCAUGAAUUCCUUUUAGUGCACCAUUUGCAGCGUGCCAAUUAUGUGCCUGCCUUGAAGCUGAACCAAACUCUGAAGAUUAAUGUUAUGAAUGAUCGUGAUCCUCGUUUGCGGGAGAGAUCACUGGCUCGAAAUUCUAUAUUAGACCAGUAUGGAAAAAUCCUUCCUAGAGUCCAUCGAAAAUUAGCCAUUGAACGAGCUAAGCCUUAUCAUCUGUCAACAUCAUCAGUUUUUCGAUUAGUUUCUAGACCCAAACCAUUAUCAGCAGUUCCAAAGCAAGUUGUAACAGGAACUGUGUUGACAAGAUCUGUUUUCAUCAACAAUGUGUUAUCUAAAAUUGGAGAAGUUUGGGCAAGCAAAGAACCUAUAAAUAGCACCACAUCUUUCAAUAGUUCUAAAAUAGAAGAACCAUCUCCUAUAGUGUAUUCGCUCCCAGCUCCAGAGCUGCCUGAGGCAUUUUUUGGAACACCAAUUUCAAAAGCAUCACAAAAAAUUU
rnacentral:lncRNA from 1 species